rnacentral:lncRNA from 1 species
CUCAUUUUUCCUUGUUCGGGGUUUGAGGUGCCACCUUACAAAAGGAUGGGUGUACGCUCUCUUUUCAGAAUGUGGUUCAUCUCAAAGCCCUUUACACUUUGGAGCCAGGCCUGUUCAAUUUUACAAAUAACACGUUUUGCUUGUAGUCAGGGUGCUGUGACAACAUGAAGAGUUCGAGCUACCUCCCAGGAUGAGUGCAGGUUUUCCUGGUGACAAAUCUCAGGCAUUCAAAGGUUCUGUUAGCAGUGCCAUACUUGUGGGUUUACAGAGAUGGUGUGUCUGGCUGAGAACAAAGGAGCCGUACCAGGUAUAUGUCUUAGUAAUGCUUUUUGUAGUAUAAGGUUGAAUAUAUAAUACUUAGACCUAGUGAAUUCCUGCUCACCCUGAUGAACUGAAUACCGCCCCAGUCUGAUAGCUGUGGAGAAAGGUAUUUUCUGAGUUGUGAGCUCAUUUUGGAUCAAGUAGGAAAUUUUUUAUGCUAAUACUAGCAUAGUAUUAAUACUAGCAUAAGCUUUUGUAAAAGAAGCUUAAGCAUUAAUGGCCCAAAUUGUUUGCUAUUUUGUAGGAAAGUUGAAGCAUAUCUUCAUUUUCAAGUCCAGGCUAAAAUAAGGUGAGAAAACUUAGAUGAAAAGUAUGCUGAACUAUAAUUUCCCCAUGAAGAAAUGUUCACACGUCCUACUUCCUGUCCUAGCUCCAGAGCCUGAAAAGGUGAACCCACUGGGGCUGGCUGGGGGAAAAGAGGAAACUUUGUUCCAGAAGGAACUGUCUGAGGGAUCAUUUUUGUGCGUAGAAAGGGAAGAAUUCUCACUUGAUUAAAGAGGAAUCAAAAGGUGAUUUACUUGUUUUACAGGUCUGAGGAAAAGAAUGAGCUGCGUGUGAAGGAUAGGAACAGAAAUCAUGAAAGAUCUGUUUGUCCAGGCCAGUGUUUCACCAUAAGAGAUCACUUUAAAAUAAAUGAUGAAAUAAUUCUUUGCAAUUGCAAAUUUACCUUCCUUGCUUACCACAUUGUUAACUGUAGGAGCUGAUACCUGGUUCUUCCACUGUUAACUUGUACUCUGUGUUUGUUCUAGCAAUAAAUGCUCUUUAUGCUA